rnacentral:rRNA from 1 species
UACAGAGGUCCCAAGCGUUGUUCGGAUUCACUGGGCGUAAAGGGUGCGUAGGCGGUCGGGUAAGUCUGAUGUGAAAUCUCACAGCUUAACUGUGAAACUGCAUUGGAUACUAUCCGGCUCGAGGAAUGGAGGGGAGACUGGAAUACUUGGUGUAGCAGUGAAAUGCGUAGAUAUCAAGUGGAACACCAGUGGCGAAGGCGAGUCUCUGGACAUUUCCUGACGCUGAGAAGCGAAAGCGUGGGGAGCGAACAGG